UACGGAGGGUGCAAACGUUGCUCGGAAUCAUUGGGCGUAAAGCGCACGUAGGCGGCUAGAUAAGUCGGGUGUGAAAGCCCUGGGCUCAACCCAGGAAGUGCAUUCGAAACUGCAGAGCUGGAGUCCUGGAGAGGAAGGCGGAAUUCUCGGUGUAGAGGUGAAAUUCGUAGAUAUCGAGAGGAACACCGGUGGCGAAGGCGGCCUUCUGGACAGUGACUGACGCUGAGACGCGAAAGCGUGGGGAGCAAACAGG
rnacentral:rRNA from 1 species